rnacentral:rRNA from 1 species
GAUGAACGCUGGCGGCGUGCCUAAUACAUGCAAGUCGAGCGAACGGACGAGAAGCUUGCUUCUCUGAUGUUAGCGGCGGACGGGUGAGUAACACGUGGAUAACCUACCUAUAAGACUGGGAUAACUUCGGGAAACCGGAGCUAAUACCGGAUAAUAUUUUGAACCGCAUGGUUCAAAAGUGAAAGACGGUCUUGCUGUCACUUAUAGAUGGAUCCGCGCUGCAUUAGCUAGUUGGUAAGGUAACGGCUUACCAAGGCAACGAUGCAUAACCAACCUGAGAGGGUGCUCUGCCACACUGGAACUGAGACACCGUCCAGACUCCUACGGGAGGCAGCAGUAGGGAAUCUUCCGCAAUGGGCGAAAGCCUGACGGAGCAACGCCGCGUGAGUGAGGAAGGUCUUCGGAUCGUAGAACUCUGUGAUUAGGGAAGAACAUAUGUGUAAGUAACUGUGCACAUCUUGACGGUACCUAACCAGAAAGCCACGGCUAACUACGUG